UACGGGGGGAGCAAGCGUUGUUCGGAUUUACUGGGCGUAAAGGGCGCGUAGGCGGUCAGCACAAGUCAGUUGUGAAAUCUCCGGGCUUAACUCGGAAAGGUCAACUGAUACUGUGCGACUAGAGUGCAGAAGGGGCAACUGGAAUUCUCGGUGUAGCGGUGAACUGCGUAGAUAUCGAGAGGAACACCUGCGGCGAAGGCGGGUUGCUGGGCUGACACUGACGCUGAGAAGCGAAAGCGUGGGUAGCGAACAGG
rnacentral:rRNA from 1 species